rnacentral:rRNA from 1 species
UACGAAGGGGGCUAGCGUUGCUCGGAAUUACUGGGCGUAAAGCGCACGUAGGCGGUCUUUAAGUCGGGGUGAAAUCCUGGAGCUCAACUCCAGAACUGCCUUUGAUACUGAAGAUCUUGAGUUCGGAGAGGUGAGUGGAACUGCGAGUGUAGAGGUGAAAUUCGUAGAUAUUCGCAAGAACACCAGUGGCGAAGGCGGCUUACUGGUCCGGAACUGACGCUGAGGUGCGAAAGCGUGGGGAGCAACAGG